AUUGAACGCUGGCGGCAGGCCUAACACAUGCAAGUCGAGCGAGAGGCGGACGGGUGAGUAAUGUAUGGGGAUCUGCCCGCUAGAGGGGGAUAACUACUGGAAACGGUGCUUAAUAUCGCACACUCUAGGAUGUACCCAUAUGGGAUUAGCUAGUAGGUGGGGGAAAGGCUCACCUAGGCGACGAUCUCUAGCUGGUCUGAGAGGAUGAUCAGCAACACUGGAACUGAGACACGGCCCAGACUCCUACGGGAGGCAGCAGUGGGGAAUAUUGCACAAGGGGCGCAAGCCUGAUGCAGCCAUGCCGCGUGUAUGAAGAAGGCCUUAGGGUUGUAAAGUACUUUCAGCGAGGAGGCGUUACUCGCAGAAGAAGCACCGGCUAACUCCGUGCCAGCAGCCGCGGUAAUAC
rnacentral:rRNA from 1 species